GACAGAGGGUGCAAACGUUGUUCGGAAUUACUGGGCGUAAAGCGCGUGUAGGCGGCUAAGUAAGUCGGGCGUGAAAUCCCACGGCUCAACCGUGGAAGUGCACUCGAAACUGCGUAGCUAGAGUCCUGGAGAGGAAGGUGGAAUGCUUGGUGUAGAGGUGAAAUUCGUAGAUAUUCGCAAGAACACCAGUGGCGAAGGCGGCUCACUGGCCCGAUACUGACGCUGAGGUGCGAAAGCGUGGGGAGCAAACAGG
rnacentral:rRNA from 1 species